AUUGAACGCUGGCGGCAUGCCUUACACAUGCAAGUCGAACGGCAGCACGGGAGCUUGCUCCUGGUGGCGAGUGGCGAACGGGUGAGUAAUACAUCGGAACGUACCCUGAAGUGGGGGAUAACGUAGCGAAAGUUACGCUAAUACCGCAUAUUCUGUGAGCAGGAAAGAGGGGGAUCGCAAGACCUCUUGCUUUAGGAGCGGCCGAUGUCGGAUUAGCUAGUUGGUGAGGUAAAGGCUCACCAAGGCGACGAUCCGUAGCGGGUCUGAGAGGAUGAUCCGCCACACUGGGACUGAGACACGGCCCAGACUCCUACGGGAGGCAGCAGUGGGGAAUUGUUCGCAAUGGGCGCAAGCCUGACGACGCAACGCCGCGUGGAGGAUGAAGAUCUUCGGGUCGUAAACUCCUUUCGAUCGAGACGAAUAGGCCCUUGGGCUAAUACCCUGAGGGAGUGACGGUACCGAGAGAAGAAG
rnacentral:rRNA from 1 species